CUACUACUAAGCCUGAAAAUUCUAUUAUAAAAAACACAAAACAGGGGGGGUAGUUUUUGUUGCUUUUUUUUUUUUGGCAAAAAAAAAGAACCAUCAAACAAGAAUUGCAUCUGCUCCUAGGCUUAGGCUGGGAUUAAACAUGAUUUAUGUGCAGUGUUUUUCAAAGCCCACAUUGCUUUAUUUUUUGUGGUUCCCCCCUUCGACAGACGUCUGUGCUGCUGUUGCAAAGCUACAAUUUCAAGCAUGCCCAGGGCAUGCUGGGAGUUGUAGUUUUGCAACAGAUGGACAGCCACAGGGGAUCAGUGGUGAUGUAUGUCUAUCUAGGACCAUGGUGUCUGAUCUUGAACUGGCUAAAUCAGUGGCUGCCGGGCUGUCUGACGAGUGACAUCCUUCGCUCCAGACCACAACGUCAGGGAUGUCACUCGUCAGACGUCCCGGCAGCCAGCGCUGCUCAUUGAGCCUGCCAGAGCCGCACUGAUCUGUGUAAGAAACCUAUGGGCCCAGGCUGUUGGGGCCACCAAAUUAUAUUACAAAUACUGAGUGUCUGGUUAGGAGAAACAAGUAUAUUACACCCACAGGGAGUAGCGCCAUUUUAAUAAAAAAUUGCCCAAAAUCCCUUAGAUAACAGUCAUACAGAAUAUAUUAGAAAGCUUUUUUGUUUUUCAGCCAAUCGGAGAGCAGCACUACUGAAAUAGAACACUCAGGAGGUAACAGCGUGUCACACAUGUGAUGUCAUAACCAUUGUCCACCAGAGAGCAGCACUGAGCAGAUAUAACACUGCUCCUGCUCAUUCUUCAUCAGUGAGGGGCUGAUGCUGGACACUGUAGGGGCCGAGAAUGCAAAGUCACAUACACUACUGUGACUGAUAAUCUAUCUUUUGUUUUCCUAUCUUAGAUGCACUAUUUCCAGGAUGUGGAGUAGCAUUUCCGGACCUACAGCAAGACGUUGGAUGAAGACGUAGAUUUCCAGACCUAUUCCAGAAUAAUUUGGAUGAAGGCACAGCCCCUCGAAUCACGCACAUACACAGACACAUUUGCCCAAAUUCUAGAGGUAACCUCCUUUAGUAUGCCCAGAGGAAGGGCAAUACAGUAGCCAUGGAUUCCCUACAGGUUUCCUCCCCUCUGGAGGUUUUUCCUGUCCUGAGUAUUAGUUACUGUACGCUCUUUGUGAGUGAUGGAGGUUACAAAAAAUCCCCGACACAAACAUUUUUAUAUAUAAUAAAUAAAGUUCCCCUUUUUAAACCA